UACAGAGGUCUCAAGCGUUGUUCGGAUUCAUUGGGCGGAAAGGGUGCGUAGGUGGCGGGGCAAGUCUGGUGUGAAAUCCCGGGGCUCAACCCUGGAACUGCACUGGAUACUGCUUUGCUAGAGUACUGGAGAGGGAACUGGAAUUUACGGUGUAGCAGUGAAAUGCGUAGAUAUCGUAAGGAAGACCAGUGGCGAAGGCGAGUUCCUGCACAGUUACUGACACUGAGGCACGAAGGCCAGGGGAGCAAACGGG
rnacentral:rRNA from 1 species